rnacentral:rRNA from 1 species
AUACGGAGGGUCCAAGCGUUAUCCGGAAUCAUUGGGUUUAAAGGGUCCGCAGGCGGUCAAUUAAGUCAGAGGUGAAAGCCCAUCGCUCAACGACGGAACUGCCUUUGAUACUGGUUGACUUGAGUUAUACGGAAGUAGAUAGAAUAAGUAGUGUAGCGGUGAAAUGCAUAGAUAUUACUUAGAAUACCGAUUGCGAAGGCAGUCUACUACGUAUAUACUGACGCUGAGGGACGAAAGCGUGGGGAGCGAACAGGAUUAGAAACCCCAGUAGUCC